UGCUUCCCGCUCCUGUCCUCGUAGGUGUAGUGUGUCAAAGAGGCCGAGCAGUAGUGGGGGUCUUAGAUCGAGCCGCAGCACCCUUCUUAGAGUAGUUAGGCUGUAGUUUUUUGGCAACAACAAAUAAGAAAAAUAAAAGUGUCCGUUCUAGUAGUUGCGUGUGUAACCACCUCACGGAAACUACAUCGUGAUCUAUCCGUUGUUGUUAUAACUAUCGGCGUAUGAUAUCCAUUUGAUUAUAUCUCUGUCUGUAUAUCUAUAUACAUAUAUAAAUAUAUAUAUUUAAUUAUAUAUAUACACUCACCCGGCAAAAUUAUUGCGAGCACAGUGGACUGGACAAUGGAGAAUGAAGCUCAUCAAAAUUGUGCCGGUAAUCAAGGCCAAAACGAUGCCGCUCAUGACCCAGGAAAAAUGUUUGUUGGCGGACUGAGCUGGCAGACUGCACCUGAGGGCCUCAGGGAGUAUUUUAGCAAAUUUGGGGAGAUCACAGAAGUCAUGGUUAUGAAAGACCCCACGACCAGGAGAUCACGGUAAGCAAGAGUUUUAUUCUUAUCUGAUGGCUAAAUUUACUCUAGCUUAAAAAGAUAAAAUAUAAAAAUUUUCAAGUACAAAUUUAAUCUCAUUCUUUAGUAGCUAGGCCGCAUAUUUAACAAAGUUAUUAACUUUUGAGAACAACAAAAUAAUUAACUUUUGAGAACAACAAUAUAUUAACAAUUUUGCCUGCCCUGGAACUGUUAACUUA